rnacentral:rRNA from 1 species
CACGUAGGGGGCAAGCGUUGUCCGGAUUUAUUGGGCGUAAAGAGCUCGUAGGCGGCUCUGUAAGUCGGGUGUGAAACCUCCAGGCUCAACCUGGAGACGCCACCCGAUACUGCUGUGGCUAGAGUCCGGUAGGGGAGCGUGGAAUUCCUGGUGUAGCGGUGAAAUGCGCAGAUAUCAGGAGGAACACCAGCGGCGAAGGCGGCGCUCUGGCCCGGAACUGACGCUGAGGAGCGAAAGUGUGGGGAGCGAACAGG